rnacentral:rRNA from 1 species
GAAUAGCCCCGGCUACUAUGUGCCAGCAGCCGCGGUAAGACAUAGGGGGCGAGCGUUAUCCGGAAUUAUUGGGCGUAAAGGGUGCGUAGGCGGUUAGGAAAGUCUAUAAUUUAAUUUCAGUGCUUAACGCUGUCUUGUUAUAGAAACUACCUUGACUAGAGUUAGAUAGAGGCAAGCGGAAUUCCAUGUGUAGCGGUAAAAUGUGUAAAUAUAUGGAGGAACACCAGAAGCGUAGGCGGCUUGCUGGGUCUUGACUGACGCUGAGGCACGAAAGCGUGGGUAGCAAACAGGAUUAGAUACCCUGGUAGUCCACGCCGUAAACGAUGAGUACUAAGUGUCGGGAUAAAACUCGGUACUGAAGUUAACACAUUAAGUACUCCGCCUGAGUAGUACGUACGCAAGUAUGAAACUUAAAGGAAUUGACGGGACUCCGCACAAGCGGUGGAUCAUGUUGUUUAAUUCGAAGAUACACGAAAAAUCUUACCAGGUCUUGACAUGCUCUGCAAAGUUAUAGAAA